rnacentral:rRNA from 1 species
CGGGGUGAGUAACGCGUGGAUAACCUGCCUCACACUGGGGGAUAACAGUUAGAAAUGACUGCUAAUACCGCAUAAGCGCACAGUACCGCAUGGUACAGUGUGAAAAACUCCGGUGGUGUGAGAUGGAUCCGCGUCUGAUUAGCCAGUUGGCGGGGUAACGGCCCACCAAAGCGACGAUCAGUAGCCGACCUGAGAGGGUGACCGGCCACAUUGGGGCUGAGACACGGCCCAA